AUGAACGCUGGCGGCGUGCCUAAUACAUGCCAGUCGCGCGAACAGACGAGGAGCUUGCUCCUCUGACGUUAGCGGCGGACGGGUGAGUAACACGUGGAUAACCUACCUAUAAGACUGGGAUAACUUCGGGAAACCGGAGAUAAUACCGGAUAAUAUAUUGUACCGCAUGGUUCAAUAGUGAAAGACGGUUUUGCUGUCACUUAUAGAUGGAUCCGCGCCGCAUUAGCUAGUUGGUAAGGUAACGGCUUACCAAGGCAACGAUGCGUAGCCGACCUGAGAGGGUGAUCGGCCACACUGGAACUGAGACACGGUCCAGACUCCUACGGGAGGCAGCAGUAGGGAAUCUUCCGCAAUGGGCGAAAGCCUGACGGAGCAACGCCGCGUGAGUGAUGAAGGUCUUCGGAUCGUAAAACUCUGUUAUUAGGGAAGAACAAAUGUGUAAGUAACUAUGCACGUCUUGACGGUACCUAAUCAGAAAGCCACGGCUAACUACGUG
rnacentral:rRNA from 1 species